rnacentral:rRNA from 1 species
GACGAACGCUGGCGGCGUGCUUAACACAUGCAAGUCGAACGGAAAGGCCCUGCUUGUGGGGUACUCGCGUGUCGAAAGGGUGUGUAUCACGCGGGUGAUCUGCCCUGCACUUUGGGAUAUGCCUGGGGAACUCGGUCUAUUACCGGGGAGGAGCCCUCCUUCGUGUGAUGGUUGGAUGGUAUUUUCGGUUUAGGAUGAGUUCGCGGGCUAUCAGCUUGUUGGUGGGGUAAUGGCCUACCAACGCGGCGACGGGCUGGCGGCCUGGGGGGGUGGACGGCCACAUUGGGGAUGGAGAAAGGCCCAAGCUCCUACGGGGGGCAAGAAGGGGGAAUAUUGCACAAUGGGCGGGAGGCUGAUGCAACGACGCCGCGGGGGGGAAUACGGGCUUCGGGGUGGAAACUCCUUUCGCUAGGGACGGAGCUUUUUGCGACGGUACCUAGAUAAGAAGCACCGGCUAACUACGUG